rnacentral:rRNA from 1 species
UACGGAGGGGGCUAGCGUUGUUCGGAAUUACUGGGCGUAAAGCGCACGUAGGCGGCUUUGUAAGCUAGAGGUGAAAGCCUGGGGCUCAACUCCAGAAUUGCCUUUAAGACUGCAUCGCUUGAACGUCGGAGAGGUGAGUGGAAUUCCGAGUGUAGAGGUGAAAUUCGUAGAUAUUCGGAAGAACACCAGUGGCGAAGGCGGCUCACUGGACGACUGUUGACGCUGAGGUGCGAAAGCGUGGGGAGCAAACAGG